CAGCCGCCGCGGUAAUACAGAGGGUGCAAGCGUUAAUCGGAAUUACUGGGCGUAAAGCGUGCGUAGGUGGUGGUUUAAGUCCGUUGUGAAAGCCCUGGGCUCAACCUGGGAAUUGCAGUGGAUACUGGGUCACUAGAGUGUGGUAGAGGAUAGUGGAAUUUCCGGUGUAGCAGUGAAAUGCGUAGAGAUCGGAAGGAACAUCUGUGGCGAAGGCGACUAUCUGGGCCAACACUGACACUGAGGCACGAAAGCGUGGGGAGCAAACAGGAUUAGAUACCCCUGUAGUCCCUGUCUCUUAUAC
rnacentral:rRNA from 1 species